rnacentral:rRNA from 1 species
CUACGGGGUGCAGCAGUGGGGAAUAUUGCACAAUGGGCGCAAGCCUGAUGCAGCCAUGCCGCGUGUAUGAAGAAGGCCUUCGGGUUGUAAAGUACUUUCAGCGGGGAGGAAGGGAGUAAAGUUAAUACCUUUGCUCAUUGACGUUACCCGCAGAAGAAGCACCGGCUAACUCCGUGUCAGCAGCCGCGGUAGAUACGGAGGGUGCAAGCGUUAAUCGGAAUGACUGGGCGUAAAGCGCACGCAGGCGGUUUGUUAAGUCAGAUGUGAAAUCCCCGGGCUCAACCUGGGAACUGCAUUUGAGACUGGCAAGCUUGAGUCUCGUAGAGGGGGGUAGAAUUCCAGGUGUAGCGGUGAAAUGCGUAGAGAUCUGGAGGAAUACCGGUGGCGAAGGCGGCCCCCUGGACGAAGACUGACGCUCAGGUGCGAAAGCGUGGGGAGCAAACAGGAUUAGAUACCCCCGUAGUC